UACAGAGGUCUCAAGCGUUGUUCGGAUUCAUUGGGCGUAAAGGGUGCGUAGGUGGCGGGGUAAGUCAGGUGUGAAAUCUCGGGGCUCAACCCCGAAACUGCACUUGAUACUGCCUUGCUCGAGUACUGGAGAGGAGAUUGGAAUUUACGGUGUAGCAGUGAAAUGCGUAGAUAUCGUAAGGAAGACCAGUGGCGAAGGCGAAUCUCUGGACAGUUACUGACACUGAGGAGCGAAAGCAUGGGGAGCGAACAGG
rnacentral:rRNA from 1 species